rnacentral:rRNA from 1 species
GAGCGCCGACAAUGUAACGGGGCUUAAGCAUGGUACCGAAGCUAAGACAUUUUGUUUACAAAAUGGGUAGGGGAGCGUUCUGUUUUCAUUGAAGUCAGAGGAGUGAUUCCUGGUGGAGGAAACAGAAGUGAGAAUGCCGGAAUGAGUAGCGUAAUUCAGGUGAAAAACCUGGACGCCGAAAGCCCGAGGUUUCCUACGUAAAGUUAAUCUGCGUAGGGUUAGGCGGGCCUAAGUCGAGGGCGAAAGCCGUAGACGAUGGACAGCAGGUUAGUAUUCCUGCCCCACCAAAGGCGUGUUAUGCAAAGGGAUGACCCAGGAGGAUAGGUGUAUCGAACCAAUGGACAUGGUUCGUUCUUUAAUCGUAGGCGUCUGAGAGCAGGCAAAUCCACUCUCAGGUUAAGCGGAGGAUUAGAGAGAAGUGGAGACGUCAGUCAAAGCGACUAUGCUGAAUCCAUGCUGGCUAGAAAAGUCUCGUUGUUAAUGCUUUUGGUGUCCGUACCGUAAACCGACACUGGUGGGCGACGAUAAGUAUCGUAAGGCGAUCGAGAGAACCUUCGUUAAGGAACUCGGCAAAUUAGCUCCGUAACUUAGGGAUAAGGAGCGCCUUUAAUGGUGAUCAAACUUGCUUUGUGAGCUAUUGAAGGUCGCAGUGAGCAGGCUCAGGCGACUGUUUAACAAAAACACAGGUCUCUGCUAACCAGAAAUGGGAUGUAUAGGGGCUGACGCCUGCCCAGUGCCGGAAGAUUAAGGGGAUUGCUUAACGGCUUGAACUUAAGUCCCGGUGAACGGCGGCCGUAACUAUAACGGUCCUAAGGUAGCGAAAUUCCUUGUCGGGUAAGUUCCGACCCGCACGAAUGGCGUAACGAUCUGAGCACUGUCUCGACGAAGGACUCGGCGAAAUUGCAUUGUGCGUGAAGAUGCGCACUACCUGCAGCUGGACAAAAAGACCCCGUGGAGCUUUACUGCAACUUGGCGUUGGAGGCUGGCCGUUGAUGCGUAGGAUAGGUGGGAGGCUUUGAUUUAAUGGUUUCGGUCAUUAAUGAGCCGUUGGUGAAAUACCACUCUUCUGCGUUUAUCCUCCUAACUUGUGUGCAAGCAUGAGAACAGCGUCUGGUGGGCAGUUUGACUGGGGCGGUCGCCUCCCAAAGAGUAACGGAGGCGUGCAAAGGUUCCCUCAAGGUGGAUGGCAAUCACCUUUUGAGCAUAUUGGUAUAUGGGAGCUUGACUGCGAGACAGACACGUCGAGCAGGGACGAAAGUCGGCCAAAGUGAUCCUACGGUUCUGUGUGGAAGGGCCGUGGCUUAUCGGAUAAAAGCUACCCCGGGGAUAACAGGCUUAUUCUGCCUAAGAGUUCAUAUCGACGGCAGAGUUUGGCACCUCGAUGUCGGCUCGUCGCAUCCU